rnacentral:rRNA from 1 species
GCCGCGGUAAUUCCAGCUCCAAUAGCGUAUAUUAAAGUUGUUGCAGUUAAAAAGCUCGUAGUUGGAUUUGUGGUUGGAGAGGUCCGCCGUUGCUAUGCUUCGUGUUGGAUCUUUCCGUCCAUCCUUGGGUGGAUCCUGUGUGGCAUUCAGUUGUCGUGCAGGGGAUGCCCAUCGUUUACUGUGAAAAAAUUAGAGUGUUCAAAGCAGGCUUACGCCUUGAAUAUAUUAGCAUGGAAUAAUAAGAUAGGACCUGGGUACUAUUUUGUUGGUUUGCGCACCGAGGUAAUGAUUAAUAGGGACAGUUGGGGGUAUUCGUAUUCCAUUGUCAGAGGUGAAAUUCUUGGAUUUUUGGAAGACGAACUACUGCGAAAGCAUUUAUCAAGGAUGUUUUCAUUAAUCAAGAACGAAAGUUGGGGGCUCGAAGACGAUCAGAUACCGUCCUAGUCUUAACCAUAAACCAUGCCGACUAGAGAUUGGAGGUCGUUAUU